rnacentral:lncRNA from 1 species
UCGUUUUCAUCAUACAUACAUGUGCUCUCUGAAUUCAUCUUCUCCUUUCGGCUAUGAAAUUUGAAACAAUUUUCAAAUCAAAAGUCUUCAAUCCCUUAUCCAUGCAACAUCUACUUCUCACACUGUCAAAGCUUAAGAAAUUCCAUUUUAAUCCCUUAUCUCUCUUCAAAUCCUCCUCUAAUUUGGGAAUUUUUUCUCAUGUCUUUACACAAUGAAAAACCCAAUGUUGAAUAAUACCCAUUUUAUUGAUUCAUUCUUUGUUGAUUUUGCAGGUUUGGUCAAGGCGCAUGCAGUUUGGAUUUCCCUCCAGAGGGAUAAGAUCAGAUGAAUAGGUAAAAGGUAACUUUGAAUUUCAAUUUCAGAUUCUCCCGCCUUCAAAUUCAAUCGAUUUAUUCAUUUUAUAAUUGAAAUAGGGUUAGAGGUUUUGUCUAUUUAAGCAGUUAUGUAGUUUUUUUGCUUCUCCAUCUGUUAUUUUAUGGAUUUAAUUUCAUCAUCUGAUUUUUAUGCUACCUGUUUCUUUUUUGUCUAUGUUUGCAAAUUUAUUUUUCUUCUCAAUCUUCUCAAUCGAAUCCUCCAACCUGUUUCAAGACCCAUCCAGCAGGUAAUUUCAGUUUUGUUCUUUUUCCAAAUCCCUAAUUUUCUUUUCGUUCCUCUUUCUAAUCCUCUUUCUGUUUUUUUUUUAUGAUUAUCCUCUUUCUGUUGCCAUUGGGUUUUAUUGUUCAUUAUGAUGAUUUUGUUGUUUUUUUUUAAAUGCAGAGAUUUUGUUGAUUUCGAAAGUUGGUUGCUUUACUGCUCUAAAAAGUUAGACAGGGGUAAGAGCUUAAUUGUUUUGCUAAUGAUAAUUAUUUUCAUGUUUCUUCAUCAAAUUUUAGUUUCAAAUCAUAUCAUUUUUCUUGCUUUGGAAUGUUUUAUUGUUUGUCAGGUUUACAAAUUAGGAUUUGACUGGGUAAGUUUUAUAAACUUUAAUUGAUUAAAGAAAAAUAUAAUCAGAAUUAAUCAGAGAAAAUACUAUGCCUAUAGCUAUACAGUUUGAGAAAUGGGGUUUAAAGAGUAUGGAUGAAAUCCAAUUUGAGAAAAUCCUAAAAUCCAAAGGGUAAAAUAGAUAUUAUGAUUAUUUUGUUUGCUUUCAUUAGUAUCAUCUUUCUCCCAAUUUUCUGCACUUAUUUUUUCUUUGUCAAUUUGUGUUCUAUGUUUUAUGAUGAAUUUAACUGAUUUCUAAUAUGGUUUUGUUUAUUUAAAUCUGCAGCUUAGUUUUCAUUAAGAAAUAAGUAUGCUUUCAAUAUUUUAUGAAAUUUUAAACACAGCAAGACUUAUUUUUUUUGCUCAUUAUAUAACUUAUUUGAGGUCUUUUAUUGAAUUUAUUUUGUACAUACUUCUUGAUGAGAAUACUCUUUUAUGCAUUAUAUUGUUCAAUGUGAUGAAUGUAUUUUAAUAUUGAAUACAUUUAUGAUAUAUUGAAAAUUAUACUUGAAGCACACGAAAAGUGUGAAUGUUAAUAUUCAACCAAUGGGAAAGCUAUUUUGCUAGCAUUAUUCUAAUCCAAUUUCAACCAUUUGUUACAAGAAUACAUGUUUCAAUUAAUCUCCUUAAUUGCGUAUUUUAUGUUUUCUUAAUCUCAUAUAUUAAUCUAAUCUCAUAUAUUAAUCAUGAUUUAAUUUUUUAUUUUAAUCUUGAUUUGCAUGAGGAUAUAGCUUUUAACUAGACUACAUUUGUUGACUGAAAGGCAUGGACUGAAACCAAAAGGUAUGGAUAAUAGGGCUCAAGCCAUUUAGGAAUUUCAGUGCUUUAUGCCCAUUGUUUGACCAAGGAUUUGAGGGCUCAAGCCAUUCAGGUUAUUCUAUGUUACUUGAUGAUAAAACUUUAAAAAAAGGAUUGAACCAUUACUUGAUUACUCAACCUGAAAUGAAUUUUCUUCACUAUUUCAUGAGUAUGUGAUAGCUGCAUUUGGUAAACACAUGGCUACAUUUACCAAACCUGAAAUUGCACUGAUAUGUGAACUUGAUAUCUAUUAAUUCUAUUAGCAUUUUUGGAUGCUUGACUUUUUUAAAUUGUGAUUGCAUUUGGACUGAAAUUGAUUUAAAACUGCAUAGUUCUUUCAAAUUGCAUAAUUUUCUGUUCAUGUUAUUUUUGUUCAAGUAAAAAUUGACUAUUAUCCUAUUUGACUAUUUAAUUAUCUUUCCUUAUAUGUUCAUUUCUUAUAACAUGAAUUUUUAUGUUCUUUGAUUUGACUAUCUAAUUAUCGGUUCAAAUUAGUCAUUAGAUGUGUUUGAGUUGGCCUUGCAUUGAUAAUUUUUUAAGUUUAAUUUUAGUUGAUUUUACUCUCAACACUUUGAAAAUCUUACUAACAGUGUUGUUUGAAAAACCUUUGCAUAAUUUAGAUGCUUUAUAGUAGUUUGAUCCCAAAACUUACUACCUCACAACACAGUUACAAUAGCAAGUAACAGGGGAUUAUUGAUCUUUAUAUCAAUUUAAUGUCAGGAAGUACCUUAACCAUUCAAUCGAACUAUUGUGCAUUCUUCUCUAUAUGCAUUCACUUUGAGGUUAAUCUAAUUGGCUUAAAUAAAUUUGAGAGUCCCAAAUCAGUUCAUAUGGACUACUUUUACUUAAUGGUUUUGAGAUUCUGAUUUUUUUUUAUUACUAUUUUGUUACACUCCUAAACUGCUAAAAGAGGCUAAACUAUUGAAGAUUGUUUUUAUUUUCGAUAUGAAUUCAUGUUUGUUAAAUUUCAUGGAUUUAGGUUAUCCAUGAUUGUUAUGAUGUGUGGUAAGUGUCUGAUAUGGUUGAGUUUCAAAAUAAAUAUCCUUUAAAUCUUUAUCUUCUUAUUCAUACAUGACAUAUUUUUAUUGCAUUUUUUGUAUGAUAAACAUCAAAGCAUUUGGAACUAUUCAAAGGAAAUGCUUAUUAUUAAAUAAAUCUCAAUAAUUGAUGUAUACAAGUAGAUGGAUUGUUUCAUUUAUCUACUUAUUAAUUUGCAGAUUUUGAUAACAUGAAUUAUGAGAUGAUAUUUGGGCAGGAUCCCAGCAUCAACAAAUAUUUGGUCUGAUAUGAACUUCACAUCUAUGUAUAUCUAUUUGGUUUUGAGAAUUUCAGAAAUUGUCUUUUAUAGUUGUUUAUCUCUUUUCUUUCUCUACAAACUUCUCAUUUGAUUGUUUUGGAUCACCAAUGAUAUAAAAAAAAGUGCAAUUGUGUGGAUUUAUUGGAGUGUUUGUUAUCAUCAUGGAGGGUUAGAGAAGGUCGACAAUGAGUGACAGAGGUUGCAGGAUGGAGGUCGCAGCAACUGCACACAAUUGGUUUCAAGACAAUUUCACCAUUUUCUUUCUUCUUUUUCUUGCUGUUUUUUUCUCCUAAUUUUGUGUGUAUCAUUAUUUCUGAUUUGAUCUUCUUUUUUUUAUAGGGGUGUACGUUUCUUGCAAGACAACAAUUGGGGAAGAGAGUAACAAUCAUGAACUCUUGAAUGUUUUAGGCUUUGGACAAUUGUUGAAUAUAGUUUUAAUGUUGAAGAAUAGAUGCAGUUACAAUCACUGUUUUUUUGUUUUUGUAAUAUUUUUUAUAUUGUUAAGAGGUAGAGCAAAAAUUGAUCCACCAGGCUGUCUGUCCUAGGUAGCAUGUGAGAGCUGCUCCUUCUUUUGGCGUGUUAGUUAAGAUAGCAUUGAAGCCGAACCUAACGUGGCUGAUGCAGCUGUAGUUUUCCUUAGAUUAAAAGCUGCAUUACAAUGUUGCCACUGCCAUUUAUCCUAUCAUUUUAGAUUGAAUUUUGAAGUUCAUAAUUUAGUAGGUGUAUGUGGGAGUAUUGGCUCCAAAAUUUGGAUGGGAUCUAUCCCCACAUCAGCAGCUGACAUGGUCUACUGUAGUAUUAAGGCCAUUGGAGAACAAGAUAUUUAUUGGUGAAAAGCACUAAAGCAAUAGAAACGACCCCAUUGUCUACUAAUAUUACUAACGGCAAUGAAUGUUUAUUUGUUGUUUCAAUCUUUCUAUUGUAAUUAUUUGUAUUCUUCAAACUCAAAUUUAUUGUAAUUAUUAUUUUUACCUUAAACGUGUUUAGUCUGACUGUUACCUAAACUCUUCUCUAUUGUAAUAAAUAAUUAAUGAAGUGCAAACUUAUGUCGAAUAGUUUCUGGCCAAUAAUGUUUUUUUUUACUAACAUAUAUAUUGCACUGUUAUUAAACUAAAUAUUGCAAGUUUUUAUUAAACCAAAUUGAAUGUUCCCGUGCAACCCGUACCACAAGUUGGACCGGGUCUGAUUGGAUUCUUAUAAUUUUUAAUCCAAAUCAAAUCAAAUUGUGAGUAAUUUUAUUUUUGAAUCG